AUUUGAAUUAGCUUUUUAUGAAAUCACUUUAUUGUAAGGUAGAUAUGUGCUAGGACAUUUUAAUAUGAAAAUAAGUAUAAGUAUUUAUUAGAAGAAAUUUUAUCGAUUGUUCUCAAUCAACUAAUAAGAUCUAUAUAUUUGCUUAAUAUUAAGUUAUAAAAUUCGCAUUACAUUUCUGUUAUAACCAUUAUAUCAUUUAUUGUCAAGUCCAAUACGGAUCAUUUAAUCCGCUUUGAGUCAACUUAAUGUUUUACUUCAUAUUUUUAACUGUGCAUUAAGUUAUCAACCGGAGACGGACUAAUCACAUGUCCCGAAAUAUAAAUGGUUAAGAAAACCUCCCAAGUUAUCAAGAUACUACUAUAGAAUAAAAAAAUUCACCAGUGAAAGUUCACUUGAUAAGGUUUAUAAUAUUAAUUAUGUCAAAGAAAAUGAUGUAUAUGUAACACCAGGCCCCACUGAAUAAACGCAGCGCCCGGUGGUAUUCACGCGGGUUUGUUAACGUUCGUGGUUUUAUUUUGUCUUAAAUCUUUGGCUAUAUCGAGGAUAAGGAAUAAUGUGAGUGCACUGUAUGAGUGAGUAAUUUUACAUUAUAUAUUUAUAACAAUUAAACGUAUUAUACAAGAAUUACAAAAUUUUAUAUACACCAAUGUGGACAGAGGGAACACUUAAUACUAAAGCCACAAAGGCGCUGAUAUAAACAAGUAAUAAAUUAUAAAAGUGAGUAAGUCUUAAAAAGAAUAUAAACUAGCAUUAUACUUAUCAGCUAAUUUUAACGGCUGGUGUUAAUGUUGAUUAUUGAAAGAAUCAAUUGAUAUCAAAUGCAUGCAAGUAGCUGACCAUCGUGUACAAUAUGCUGUGAACGGUACUGUGAUGUAUCUCAGAAAAUAUAUAGACUCAGCGGCGAUAUACUGAGUGCACAGGGUGCGACAAUCGCAAAGGUGAUAUUUUUCUUUUUACAACAAAACGAAUACAAAACUACUGACUAGCAAGCACCAUAGAGCUUAUAGCUAAAAAAACGCUAAGAUGAUGGCGACAAUUCAGACAUAGAGAGGACCGACAACAACUCGAUGUAGCACAAUAAUAGCAUAAAUAAUCACAACACAAUUUCGCGACAGCAUAUUGAUGUGUAUCUAAAGUAACCAAACCCUCUAAAGUAUAGAGAAGAUGUACUUCUUAUAUCUUAAAUUAUAAUUUGUUAGCUACUUUGGACAAAUAUAAGCUAAAUGAAAUUAAACUUAUUAUAUUUUUCUUAAAUAAGUAUAAAUAAAUUUUUUAUGACAAAAAUAAAAGGAUCAUUAAAUCGUUAAAAAUACUGGACUUGACUUGGAUUUAGUAUUAUGUUUUCUAUUUAUUAACACAAUAGCCUGAUGGCAAAUUAUCUGAUUAUGGCUGAGUAUUAAAAUAUAAUUUUCUAACACAAUAAGCAUCAUCCAGAAAAAUUUUUCGGGUGUCGGAUUCCUCAAGCGGCAGCGGUAUUGGUAGUGACGUCAUGUCUGUAUGUACUGUUACAUAUAUUCAGACAUGAUGUCACAAUUAGUAUAUAAAACAUUUUAUCAAAAAUUGCUGUACACCGUUGCGAUAAUUUUAUUAUUAUCAUGAAUAUGAUAACAGCGUUUUAAAAGCUAUUAGUAUUAUUAGAGGUUUUUAAAUAAUUUGAUUGAAAAUUAUUAAGUAAGCAAGUAUGUACUUCACUCGGUUUUUGGAAAUGCUUUGAGUCAAAAUUAUUAUUACCUGAUAAUAAUAAUUUAUUACAUUAUUCAAUACCUGCGUACCCUUAAAACGCAGCGUCCUCUGGUUUUCGUAUCAUUCAGUUGGUUCACGAUUAAGGUGUUUUAUAACAACAAGAAGACAAUAUUAAGAAAGACAUUAUGACUAACGCCAAUAAUUGAAUCAUGUGAUACGGUAAGCGGUGAUGAUGAACAUAUCACCUCUUGAGCUCGAAUAUGUUUCCUGAGCUUAUAAAGGAGAGACAAUAAAUAAACCGGUAUUUUCUGAUAUAGAUUCGGGUGGGGUGACUAGUUUAAGUAAUUAUACCGAUUGUGUCGUGGACCAUGCACCACUAUUCAUUCAUUCGUUGAGAGAAUUAAAUGAACCGAUUGCCCACUGGACUCAAAACAGCAACCUGAACUUGUUCGCGAGAACAUAAUAAAUGCCCCUAAUGAAUGGGGUGAAGACAAUGACUGCCACACAAAUUCAUUCCUCAUACAAUCUGCAGAAACAGGGAAAUGAUUUGAUUUCAUGUAAUUUUUUUAAUAUUUAUGGAUAUAUAAUAUUAAUAAAGAUCAUUUAAUCUCGACACCUUUCUUAUUUAUUUAUAAAACAUUGAAAUAAUAUAGCAUAAAUAGAGAAAAAAUACUUUUUAAUGGUGAUGUACAUAGAGAAUAUUGUGUAAAGGUGAUGGUGGUGGUGGAGGAGAUGGUAUUCGGUCAACACCUAAUGGCCAUGAGUCAACUAUAAAAAUGACCUGAAUGUAUAUGAUAGAUUUUUACUCUAAUUCAUAGUUAUCAUUUAUCGUUGAACACACAUAUAAACAGACAUAAUUUUUUCUGACUUGAUAUUUAUUAUACGUUUUUUUUAAGUUACUUAUUCAAGUAAUAUCUUAGUAAUAGUUUAAUAUUAUUUAAGUUAUUAAUAGUAUUAAUUUUAAUUAUAGUAGUCUUUAAGCAUUUAUAUGCGUUUUGUUAAAUUAAUC